UACGGGGGGGGCAAGCGUUGUUCGGAAUUACUGGGCGUAAAGCGCACGCAGGCGGUCAUGUAAGUCGGGUGUGAAAUCCCCGGGCUCAACCUGGGAACUGCAUUCGAGACUGCAUGGCUAGAGUACGGUAGAGGAGGGCGGAAUUCCCGGUGUAGCGGUGAAAUGCGUAGAUAUCGGGAGGAACAUCAGUGGCGAAGGCGGCCCUCUGGACCAGUACUGACGCUCAGGUGCGAAAGCGUGGGGAGCGAACAGG
rnacentral:rRNA from 1 species